rnacentral:tRNA from 1 species
CGGGGCGUGGCAUAGCUGGUUAGUGCACUCCCUUGGGGUGGGAGAGAUCGCUGGUUCGAAUCCAGUCGUCCCGA